UACUGAUAUCUACCCCAUACUAAUCUUCAUAUGGGGUUAGCUCAGU
rnacentral:rRNA from 1 species